UUGAUAAAUCCUGGAACUAUGAGAGAGAGAGAGACAGAAAGAAAGAGAGAGACAUGGAAAAAGAAGGAGAGGAAAAAAGAAGGAAUAAAUUGUU
rnacentral:ribozyme from 14 species